UGCAGCUCAGAGGUAGAGCACUUGCCUAGCAAGUGGGAGGCCCUGGGUUCAAUCCCCAGCACUGCAA
rnacentral:tRNA from 1 species